rnacentral:rRNA from 1 species
UUGCUUUUUUGAUGACGACCGGCGCACGGGUGCGUAACGCGUAUGCAAUCUACCUUUUGCUACUGGAUAGCCCAGAGAAAUUUGGAUUAACACAGUAUAGUAUCAUAUUACUGCAUGGUAUUUAUGAUUAAAGGCUACGGCAGAAGAUGAGCAUGCGUCCUAUUAGCUAGUUGGUGUGGUAACGGCAUACCAAGGCAACGAUAGGUAGGGGCCCUGAGAGGGGGAUCCCCCACACUGGUACUGAGACACGGACCAGACUCCUACGGGAGGCAGCAGUGAGGAAUAUUGGACAAUGGAGGCAACUCUGAUCCAGCCAUGCCGCGUGCAGGAUGACUGCCCUAUGGGUUGUAAACUGCUUUUAUACAGGAAGAAACCGCUCUACGUGUAGAGCUCUGACGGUACUGUAAGAAUAAAGGAUCGGGCU